UUACCUCAGUAACGGCGAGUGAAGCGGUAACAGCUCAAAUUUGAAAGCUGCCAACAGGCCGCGUUGUAAUUUGUAUAAGAUGCUUUGGGCGUUGACCUUUUCUAAGUUCCUUGGAACAGGGCGUCAUAGAGGGUGAGAAUCCCGUAUGUGAUCAGUGUCUUCGCCCGCGUAAAGCUCUUUCGACGAGUCGAGUUGUUUGGGAAUGCAGCUCAAAAUGGGUGGUAAAUUUCAUCUAAAGCUAAAUAUUGGCCAGAGACCGAUAGCGCACAAGUAAAGUGAUCGAAAGAUGAAAAGCACUUUGGAAAGAAAGUUAAACAGUACGUGAAAUUGUUGAAAGGGAAGCGCUUGCAAUCAGACUUGCGGGUAGUUGAUCAUCCGAGGUUCUCCCCGGUGCACUCGGCUGCCUUCAGGCCAGCAUCGAUUUCAGUGGUGGGUUAAAGUCCGCAGGAACGUGGCUCCUCGGAGUGUUAUAGCCUGCGGAGCAAUGCCGCCUACUGGGAUCGAGGACCGCGCUUCGGCUACGAUGCUGGCGUAAUGGUUGUAAGCGACCCGUCUUGAAACACGGACCAAGGAGUCUAACAUCUAUGCGAGUGUUUGGGUGUCAAACCCAUACGCGUAAUGAAAGUGAACGGAGGUGAGAGCCCUUCAAGGUGCAUCAUCGACCGAUCCUGAUGUCUUCGGAUGGAUUUGAGUACUAGCAUAGCUGUUGGGACCCGAAAGAUGGUGAACUAUGCG
rnacentral:rRNA from 1 species